CAUUUUCUUAUAGUGUUGGAAACCCAAAUAUGUUACAUCUGGAUUAAUGCAUGAGAACUGGAAAAGAAAGCUGACUUUACACAGAAAGUGAAGAUGAUCGCCCAGUUUCAUUAUCUGAACUGAGUGACAUGCACAAAGUGAACAGCUACGUAAAAUGGAACCAUGUAAAAUGGAACAAACUCAGUCCCACAAAGAGUUACUGUUGGCCUUGCUGCUAACCACUGAGAGAGGCAUCUGGUGCUGGUGAAAACACAUCUGAACACUUCCUAUUUGGUCUGCCAUUAAAUAUCUAGUACAGCUGUUCUGAACAUCCCAUCCCAAGCUGGAAUAGGAAGAGAAGUCCAGCCAGCCAUUUCCCCUGUGGCCAGCCGUAAGGAUCUUCCGGAAGGUAUGUGCUUUGGAUUUCAUCCCCCGACUAUUACACUCAUAAUGUCAGACCCCCAACG
rnacentral:lncRNA from 1 species